ACGGGAGGCAGCAGUGGGGGAUAUUGCACAAUGGGGGAAACCCUGACGCAGCGACGCCGCGUGAGUGAAGAAGUAUUUCGGUAUGUAAAGCUCUAUCAGCAGGGAAGAAAAUGACGGUACCUGACUAAGAAGCUCCGGCUAAAUACGUGCCAGCAGCCGCGGUAAUACGUAUGGAGCAAGCGUUAUCCGGAUUUACUGGGUGUAAAGGGAGCGUAGACGGCGUGGCAAGUCUGAUGUGAAAGCUAUGGGCUCAACCCAUAAACUGCAUUGGAAACUGUCAUGCUAGAGUGUCGGAGAGGUAAGCGGAAUUCCUAGUGUAGCGGUGAAAUGCGUAGAUAUUAGGAGGAACACCAGUGGCGAAGGCGGCUUACUGGACGAUAACUGACGUUGAGGCUCGAAAGCGUGGGGAGCAAACAGGAUUAGAUACCCUGGUA
rnacentral:rRNA from 1 species